rnacentral:rRNA from 1 species
AGUGAACGCUGGCGGCGUGCCUAACACAUGCAAGUCGAACGGGCUAGUGCUUCGCACUAGUCUCUUUCUGGGGUUGCUACUCUAAGGCUACCUGCUAAAGUUAUUGCUUUAAAGCAGGGGUUUUAGGGGACCUUCCCCAAAAGGGGCCAGUGCGGAGCACUGGCCAGUGGCGAACGGGUGAGUAACACGUGGGUAAUCUGCCCUCGAGUGGGGAAUAAGCUCCCGAAAGGGGGUCUAAUACCGCAUGACGUUUCAUAACGAUGGUUAUGAAACCAAAGCCCAAAAGGCGCUUGAGGAGGAGCCUGCGUCCUAUCAGCUUGUUGGCAGGGUAAUGGCCUACCAAGGCUAUGACGGGUAGCCGGCCUGAGAGGGGUGUCCGGCCACACUGGAACUGAGACACGGUCCAGACUCCUACGGGAGGCAGCAGUGGGGAAGUUUUGCGCAAGUGGGGGAAACCCUGGACGCAGCGACGCCGCGUGGAGGAUGACGGCCGUCGGUUGUAACUCCUCGUCAGAAGGACGAACGUCCGACCG